AGAUGGAACAUAAUAAAGGGACAAACAAAUAUAUAAAAAUGAUUUCAGGAAAAACUCAGCAAACUAAAAAUAUGCAGAAUAUCUCCAGAUGUGUGGACGCGAGCAGCCUGAAGGCUGUGCUGCAAGUGUGUGAGACCUGGAGGCGUCAGAGAGGACCUGUGUGCAGGUGUUUGACUUCUUCCACGCUAAAAAAACCCACCUCACAGCAACAGGCACGAGUCAGCGCCUGAUGAACAGGAGCUGAGUCAGGAGGAUGUUUAGAGCUUUUACUCUGAAAGAGCUUCAGUGGUUUUUGUUUGUUUGUUUGCUUGUUUGUGACUCACUGUCUCUCACUGACGUCACUAGAUGACCAAAACACAUCAAGAGUGGAACAGACCACGCCCCCUUCCUGGAUAAAAAGAUCUUCGUCAAUCACGUCACAGUCUGGCUUCGUUCUAGAAUCGUUCGGCGGCGCUUUGACGUGUCGGAGCUUUUAAAGAGCUGAGAGCAGCUCGGCGUCUUCACGCUGAGCUGUCCUGUUUUGGUGCUGAGGGAGGAGCUCAGCCCCGCCCCGUUGAAUUGGAUAGGCGUGGAUGGAUUAGGUUUCAUUACUGCCCGGUGCCAUCCAGUGGUACAAGGCCCCCCUUUUCUUGGCAUACGCCGAAUCUGGUGAAGCUCUGUCUGAUGGAAAGUUAACCCCCACAGUCCAACCGGGCACACCAAAAGAACAAACCCAGAUUAUAAACUGGUGAUGAACUCUCUCCAUGCUGGGACACCUCAGAUUCCUGUCUGCUUCCCACAGACUGAACCUGGAAACACGUGAAAUAUCUACAACUCGUGGAAAAUCCCUCAUCGGGAAGUGAAACGUUUGUUGGACACGACGUACAAACUCUCACAGGUAUUCUCACCUGGCGGAGAUUUCAGUUUCAUUUAUGGACAUAUUCUCAUAAUCC